AAUCUUACCGGGUCCGGACAUACCGAGGAUUGACAGACUGUUAACUGCAACACAAGCUGCUAAGUUUUAAACUUAAUAGCUCUUUCAUGAUUAUAUGAUAGGUGGUGCAUGGCCGUUCUUAGUUCGUGGAGUGAUCUGUCUGCUUAAUUGCGUUUCAAAAUUUAAACCUGAGCGACAAGGUGCUGCUAUCGAAACUGUCUUUGAGUGUGAACUAUAAGUCUUUUGACUUAUGACCAUCACUCUAGACGUUUAUGUUUUGGUGUUGGCCCUUGAUGCUCAUUUGAACGCAACGGACGUGAUUGCAACCCCUUGUUGAGAUUUAUCCGAUCUCUACGUUCACUGAACCACACUCUUUAGCGAGAGCAGUGGGGAUGUGGAUAAACUCGGGGGACUGCUGACUAUAAACUUUUCUCAAACCAGAGGAAGGUUGCGGCAAUAACAGGUCUGUGAUGCCCUCAGAUGUUCCGGGCUGCACACGUGCUACAUUUAGUAGCGCAGUGUGCACAUUAAUAGAGUGAUAGGUUCCGUGGUUUGUACAUUUUAAGGGCUCGUCCUAGUAACCAAAGCUCCACGGGACAUAUCAACCUUCCCCUUACAGGGCGGGUAACCUCUUCGAAGUGCUGGCAUGAUUUCCCUAGUUUUGGCAUUUGAAUCCUUGUCGCAGCAGCCCUGAGACGUAGUGAACGCUGCAAAGUGAUUCCAGUCUUAGGUUUGCGACACAUGCAAUUCCUGGUUGACUCAUCGUGGGGACUGAUUCUUGUAAUUAUUUUUCACGGUUCAACCAGGAAUGCCUUGUACCGGCGGCUCAUUAAACCGCUGG
rnacentral:rRNA from 1 species